UGGGGAAUAUUGGACAAUGGGCGCAAGCCUGAUCCAGCCAUGCCGCGUGAGUGAUGAAGGCCCUAGGGUUGUAAAGCUCUUUCACCGGUGAAGAUAAUGACGGUAACCGGAGAAGAAGCCCCGGUUAACUUCGUGCCAGCAGCCGCGGUAAUACGAAGGGGGCUAGCGUUGUUCGGAUUUACUGGGCGUAAAGCGCACGUAGGCGGACUAUUAAGUCAGGGGUGAAAUCCCGGGGCUCAACCCCGGAACUGCCUUUGAUACUGGUAGUCUUGAGUUCGAGAGAGGUGAGUGGAAUUCCGAGUGUAGAGGUGAAAUUCGUAGAUAUUCGGAGGAACACCAGUGGCGAAGGCGGCUCACUGGCUCGAUACUGACGCUGAGGUGCGAAAGCGUGGGGAGCAAACAGG
rnacentral:rRNA from 1 species